rnacentral:rRNA from 1 species
UGCCAGCCGCCGCGGUAACACGGGGGGCGCAAGCGUUAUUCGGAAUUAUUGGGCGUAAAGGGCGCGCAGGCGGUCUUGUCCGUCAGGUGUGAAAGCCCAGGGCUCAACCCUGGACGUGCAUUUGAAACAGUAGGACUUGAGUACGGGAGAGGAAAGCGGAAUUCCUGGUGUAGAGGUGAAAUUCGUAGAUAUCAGGAGGAAUACCGAUGGCGAAGGCAGCUUUCUGGACCGAUACUGACGCUGAGGCGCGAAGGCGUGGGUAGCGAACGGGAUUAGAAA